GAAUGUUGUUUGGAUCGAGG
rnacentral:miRNA from 2 species